rnacentral:rRNA from 1 species
GAUGAACGCUGGCGGCGUGCCUAAUACAUGCCAGUCGAGCGAACAGAUGAGGAGCUUGCUCCUCUGACGUUAGCGGCGGACGGGUGAGUAACACGUGGAUAGCCUACCUAUAAGACUGGGAUAACUUCGGGAAACCGGAGCUAAUACCGGAUAAUAUAUUGAACCGCAUGGUUCAAUAGUGAAAGACGGUUUUGCUGUCACUUAUAGAUGGAUCCGCGCCGCAUUAGCUAGUUGGUAAGGUAACGGCUUACCAAGGCAACGAUGCGUAGCCGACCUGAGAGGGUGAUCGGCCACACUGGAAGUGAGACACGGUCCAGACUACUACGGGAGGCAGCAGUAGGGAAUAUUCCGCAAUGGGCGAAAGCCUGACGGAGCAAAGCCGCGUGAGUGAUGAAGGUCUUCGGAUCGUAAAACUCUGUUAUUAGGGAAGAACAAAUGUGUAAGUAACUAUGCACGUCUUGACGGUACCUAAUCAGAAAGCCACGGCUAACUACGUG